rnacentral:rRNA from 1 species
GACGAACGCUGGCGGCGUGCUUAACACAUGCAAGUCGAACGGAAAGGCCCUGCUUUUGUGGGGUGCUCGAGUGGCGAACGGGUGAGUAACACGUGAGUAACCUGCCCUUGACUUUGGGAUAACUUCAGGAAACUGGGGCUAAUACCGGAUAGGAGCUCCUGCUGCAUGGUGGGGGUUGGAAAGUUUCGGCGGUUGGGGAUGGACUCGCGGCUUAUCAGCUUGUUGGUGGGGUAGUGGCUUACCAAGGCUUUGACGGGUAGCCGGCCUGAGAGGGUGACCGGCCACAUUGGGACUGAGAUACGGCCCAGACUCCUACGGGAGGCAGCAGUGGGGAAUAUUGCACAGUGGGCGGAAGCCUGAUGCAGCAACGCCGCGUGCGGGAUGACGGCCUUCGGGUUGUAACCCGCUUUCGCCUGUGACGAAGCGUGAGUGACGGUAAUGGGUAAAGAAGCACCGGCUAACUACGUGCCAGCAGCCGCGGUGAUACGUAGGGUGCGAGCGUUGUCCGGAUUUAUUGGGCGUAAAGGGCUCGUAGGUGGUUGAUCGCGUCGGAAGUGUAAUCUUGGGGCUUAACCCUGAGCGUGCUUUCGAUACGGGUUGACUUGAGGAAGGUAGGGGAGAAUGGAAUUCCUGGUGGAGCGGUGGAAUGCGCAGAUAUCAGGAGGAACACCAGUGGCGAAGGCGGUUCUCUGGGCCUUUCCUGACGCUGAGGAGCGAAAGCGUGGGGAGCGAACAGGCUUAGAUACCCUGGUAGUCCACGCUGUAAACGGUGGGUACUAGGUGUGGGGUCCAUUCCACGGGUUCCGUGCCGUAGCUAACGCUUUAAGUACCCCGCCUGGGGAGUACGGCCGCAAGGCUAAAACUCAAAGGAAUUGACGGGGCCCCGCACAAGCGGCGGAGCAUGCGGAUUAAUUCGAUGCAACGCGUAGAACCUUACCUGGGUUUGACAUGGAUCGGGAGUGCUCAGAGAUGGGUGUGCCUCUUUUGGGGUCGGUUCACAGGUGGUGCAUGCCUGUCGUCAGCUCGUGUCGUGAGAUGUUGGGUUAAGUCCCGCAACGAGCGCAACCCUUGUUCACUGUUGCCAGCACGUUAUGGUGGGGACUCAGUGGAGACCGCCGGGGUCAACUCGGAGGAAGGUGGGGAUGACGUCAAGUCAUCAUGCCCCUUAUGUCCAGGGCUUCACGCAUGCUACAAUGGCUGGUACAGCGAGUGGCGAGCCUGUGAGGGUGAGCGAAUCUCGGAAAGCCGGUCUCAGUUCGGAUUGGGGUCUGCAACUCGACCUCAUGAAGUCGGAGUCGCUAGUAAUCGCAGAUCAGCAACGCUGCGGUGAAUACGUUCCCGGGGCU